CCGGGCUGCGGACAGUGUCUGGUGGGUAGUUUGACUGGGGCGGUCUCCUCCCAAAGCGUAACGGAGGAGCACGAAGGUUGGCUAAUCCUGGUCGGACAUCAGGAGGUUAGUGCAAUGGCAUAAGCCAGCUUGACUGCGAGAGUGACGGCUCGAGCAGGUGCGAAAGCAGGUCAUAGUGAUCCGGUGGUUCUGAAUGGAAGGGCCAUCGCUCAACGGAUAAAAGGUACUCCGGGGAUAACAGGCUGAUACCGCCCAAGAGUUCAUAUCGACGGCGGUGUUUGGCACCUCGAUGUCGGCUCAUCACAUCCUGGGGCUGAAGUAGGUCCCAAGGGUACGGCUGUUCGCCGUUUAAAGUGGUACGCGAGCUGGGUUUAGAACGUCGUGAGACAGUUCGGUCCCUAUCUGCCGUGGGCGCUGGAAAACUGAGGGGGGUUGCUCCUAGUACGAGAGGACCGGAGUGAACGCACCGCUGGUGUUCGGGUUGUCAUGCCAAUGGCACUGCCCGGUAGCUAAGUGCGGAAGAGAUAAGUGCUGAAAGCAUCUAAGCACGAAACUUGCCCCGAGAUGAGUUUUCCCUGA
rnacentral:rRNA from 1 species